CCACAAAUAAACAUCAACACAAAAUACAUGUCAAGCAACCAAAAAAUAUAUACUCAAUCCACAAAUUGUUGACCGUUGAGAUCAAAAGAACACUGGGUGGGACAUUCAUGCGUGCUGACUAUCACUUAUCCCACUUUGUCUCCCAUUUCCUGUGUUUGCCUUCAUAAUAAAUAUAAUGACAAUUUUAAUUCUCAAUACAAAUAUUACAAGUAAAACUUUCAUAAACUAUAUUCAAAACUUACCUGAAUAGGUCCAUCUUGACAGGUUAUUUUGUUAUGACCUAGCUGGUUGUACCUUGCAUAGACAACUGUGACAUUUCGCCUUCAUUUAGGUGUUGAUUCUGCCUCAGCAUCUUCCCUUCUCCUAGCUUUUCUUAGUCUUCCAAGUUGCUUUUUAAGUGGUGGGUGUUCAUCAUCUACCUCCAAAGUCCUACUACGAAUGGGACGUAUUGCAUGGUUGUACACCUUUUAUAGGUUUCAACAAUAAAUGUUUCGUCACAAUAAUUUUCUAUAUCAACCCUUUUGUACCCAAUAUCUUUGUAGCAUACUUGCAUAAUAGUCCAGAAAUAGCCCACUACCCACAAGAGCAUGUUCUUUUAUCCAAAAACACUGCAAAUCUAUAUGGUCUCUCAUAGACUUCAUACUGCUCAUUUCUCCUAGGUAUAAGCUUCACAAACCCGCUUUGAUUAAUGAUUUUUCUCAAAUUCUUUUUAGUUCUAGGAGUCACUUUUCCUUCCCAUGUAGUAGCUUUCUCAUAUCUUUGAUGAAACCUUAACAUGCAUCUCUGUCUUAUCCUAUCAAUUAUUUGAAUAAGUAGCAUUUCCCUCAAAUUUUCUAUUUAGCUAUUCAAAGACUCUGUGAAGUUGUUAGUGUAAUUAUCACAUUUUGCAUUUUCUCAAAAUACGACUCACUGUGACAGAGGAAUUCUCAACAGCCAGUCAUGUGGCUUCUGCUCCUUUUUGACUUCAUAUUUUUUGUAUGCAGCCAAAUCUCAUAAGUAGAUUUUGGGACUUUUUAUAGUUACAAGUUGAAAAAAAUAAUAAUUUUGAAACCCUAGUCCGGGAAAAAACAUUUCUUGGACUAGAGUAAAUCAGCUCUCUACCGCACUCAUGAAGUGAGGUAGAGUCUACCGCACUUAUGAAGUGAGGUAGAGAGCCGCUGACUUUCUUUUCCGCGUACCAAAAGCGCGGUAAAGGAAGAAAAAGAUUUUUUUUUAAAUAAAAAAUUCUACCACACUUUUGAAGUGCGGUAAAAUUUUAAAUUUUUUUUAUACUGCACUUUUGAAGUGUGGUAGAAUUUAAAAAUUUUUUUUAUAUAUCUAUCGCACUUUUGAAGUAUGGUAAAUCUGCCAGGUGCAGGGUAGAGAGGCUUCUACCGCACUUUUGAAAUGCGAUAGAAUUUCUGCCUCAGAAAUUCUAAUACUGCGCUCGCCCACUAUAAAAACCCCUCACCCCUUCCCUGUCCCUCUCCUUCUCUCUCCACCCUUUCCCUGCCCUUUUCCUUUUCUCUUUGCCCCUUCCCUGUUCCUCCUCUCUUCCUCCUAAUCCAUGUCAACAGAAUUUUCUUUAAAUAUUUCUCCUCUCUUCUCAACCCAUCUAAACAAAAUUUUCUCUCCUUAAUAUUUCUCCUCUCUUUCCAACUCAUCUCAACAAAAAUUUCUAAACUUAAUAUUUCUUCUCUAAAUUUUCUAUUUUCAAAAUUUUUUGUCAUACUCUCAAACUCUUUUAAAUUAAUCUACAUUUACUCUCUUCCCAACCCCAUCAACUAAAUUUUCUCACAUUUAAAUAUUUCUCUCAAAUCCUCUGCUAUAUUUAUUUCAUAUUAUUGACGGAGUUGAAAUUUUAAAUUAAAAAGUUAUGUUUUAUAUUAAUGUUUUUUUUAUGAAAUUUAGAUAAAUAAAAAUUUAUUAAAAAAAUUUGUGUUUUUGUAGUUUUUUCUAUUCCCCAUACGUUAUUUAUGGAAGACGACUGCGUCCAUGAAUAUCGAAAUAGUGAAAACUACAAAAACACAAAAAAAAAUUUAUUAAUAAAUUUUUAUUUAUCUAAAUUUUAUUAAAAAAA
rnacentral:lncRNA from 1 species